UACAGAGGGGGCAAGCGUUGUUCGGAAUUACUGGGCGUAAAGGGCGCGUAGGCGGCCUGCUAAGUCGAACGUGAAAUCCCCGGGCUCAGCCCGGGAACUGCGUCCGAUACUGGUAGGCUUGAAUUCGGGAGAGGGAUGCGGAAUUCCAGGUGUAGCGGUGAAAUGCGUAGAUAUCUGGAGGAACACCGGUGGCGAAGGCGGCAUCCUGGACCGACAUUGACGCUGAGGCGCGAAAGCCAGGGGAGCAAACGGG
rnacentral:rRNA from 1 species